AUACGGAGGGUGCAAGCGUUAUCCGGAAUCAUUGGGUUUAAAGGGUCCGCAGGCGGAUUAAUAAGUCAGUGGUGAAAUCCUCUCGCUCAACGAGAGAACUGCCAUUGAAACUGUUAGUCUUGGAUUCGGUCGAAGUAGGCGGAAUGUGUCAUGUAGCGGUGAAAUGCAUAGAUAUGACACAGAACACCGAUAGCGAAGGCAGCUUACUAGACCUGGAUUGACGCUCACGGACGAAAGCGUGGGGAGCGAACAGGAUUAAAAACCCCAGUAGUCC
rnacentral:rRNA from 1 species